rnacentral:rRNA from 1 species
GAUGAACGCUGGCGGCGUGCCUAACACAUGCAAGUCGAGCGAAAAGACCAGGAGCUUGCUCCUCUGUCGUUAGCGGAGGACGGGUGAGAAACACGUGGAUAAUCUACCUAUAAUACUGGGAUAACUUCGGGAAACCGGAGCUAAUACCGGAUAAUAUAUUGCACCGCAUGGUUCAAUAGUGAAAGACGGUUUUGCUGUCAGUUAUAGCUGGAUCCGCGCCGCAUGAGCUAGUUGGUAAGGUAACGGCUUACCAAGGCAACGAUGCGUAGACGACCUGCGAGAGUGAUAGGCGACACGGGAACGGGGACAGGGACAAGACGACUAAGGUAGGCAGCAGUAGCGAAUCGGCCGCAGUGGGCGAGAGCAUGACGGAGCAGCGCGGAGUGUGUGAUGGAGAUCUUGGGAUCGGAAUAAUCUGUUAUUAGGGAAAAACAAAUGUCGAAGUAGCUAAGCACGUCUUGACGGUACCUGGUAAGAAAGCCACGGCUAACUACGUG